CCAAAGGAAAAACAGCCUCCACCAGCAUGUCUGUACAGGAGAAAGCUACCCCUCCAGCCCUCGUCUUUGUUUGGAGGCCAAACAGCACAGUUCUUCCCUGUUCUCUGGUGCUCCUCAAGCUGCCUCCCCUAGGAGCUCAGAGGGAGCAAGUCUGAUUUCUAUGAUUCCAUGAGAAGCUAUAUGUAAAAGAUGUAGCCUGGGGCUUGGCACAAGCUUCUCUUCCCCAGGAGCACAGAGGAAAGAAGCCAAAUAAUAGGGGAAUGGAUGAGAAAGCACAAGACCACUUCAUGAUUCCUGCUUUUUAAGAUCUCUGGCUGGAAACAUAGCUGGGAGCUGAUCAAUGCCAUCCCGGUCGGUGCUGGAUCACCGCCAGAACUGAUUGUAACCGUGUAAGCAAGAAGCCUACAAGAUGACGCCAGCCCCAAUCACCAUCUGAUUGCAACUUCAUGAAAGACUAAGCAAGAACCACCUAGCUGAGCCCAGUCAGCUCCCAGAGCAAGGAGACUUUGCUCUCCCAUUCUGUCGUUUGGAAAGCACAAUCAGUUUCUGUUUGAAGUAGGCAAAGAAAUAGAUGGAUGCUCAUUAAACCAAGAUUCUCAAUUCCAAGUGAGAGGGAUUUACAAGUGAUCAAGACCAAGCUCUACAAUCAAGAAGCUUCAAGUGUCAUGGGGAAUUUCAGUAUGAAGUCACUAUUCCUGCAAGUUCCACUCUGACCUUGUUUAUUCAUUCUGUCAGAAAAAAUUACUUCAAGACCAGGGAUGUGAUGCAUAUAAUGAAAGACAAAGAAACCAACAAAGAACAACCAACAAGCAAAAACCCUGUGUGAGAGCAAAGAGCCAGAGCUUGAAACUUACAGUGGACUACAGAUGUGGUAUGACUCAGAUUUGAAAAUGAAAUCGAAGACAAUAUCCUAGGAGAUGACAGAGCAACAAGAUAGCAGGAACCUGGGUCAUGAUAGCCUUAUGGCACAGAGCAGCUAUGCAGUCUUGAAAUUAUCUUUAUACUGGUGUGAAUCCAUGGUCCUGACCCUUGCCAUUAGCAAGGCCCAUGUGGCUAUUACAAAAUGAAAAACACCUGGCUCUCAGCUUUGGGCACACCUUGAUUCUGCUAUUACUUGGAUUAAUCCCUUGUCAGUCUAAGUGGGCAGCAGAUGACUUGCACUCUCUUUGGUGUGAUAACAAGAGUAUAAAGUGUCUAUAAAGAAGAAAAUUGCUAAGAAAUUAAAGCAGGAUUGUAGGAGCUGAGCCCUAAUCAUUGUGCCUGGCAGAGAUCAGCAUAAUGUAAGCUCCAUGAAGGGGUGCCCUCUGCGUCUCAGAGUGGACCCUGGAAAACUGGUCGCAACACGUUUGUCGAGUGAAUUUCCAGGCAUCACCUGAGCUCUGCCAGAACCGAGAUUUGAAUUGUUAGAGGAAAUGAACAGCUGGAAUCAACACUGAGCACUUUGGCAUAGGCGUAUCAUGCUUUUUUCACUUGUAAAUUAUGAUCUAUUUCAUCUUUAGAAACUUCAGUUUACUUCCAGGAAGCUCUUCAAAGGAUCAUGAAACUCACUUGUCUGGACAAGAUCAGUUUGCUUCAGUUGACUUGGCAGUAUGUUCAUUUAUUGACAAGAGAUUGCCAGGAACUUGAAAAAGAAUACCACAAUGUCUCCCUAUACCUUGUACCACGUCAGAUAAGCAAAUAACUGACUCGGAAAAUUUAUGAUAGCUUUAUAGAUGUUUUUC